GGGUGACUGCGUACCUUUUGUAUAAUGGGUCAGCGACUUAUAUUCUGUAGCAAGGUUAACCGAAUAGGGGAGCCGUAGGGAAACCGAGUCUUAACUGGGCGAAUGAGUUGCAGGGUAUAGACCCGAAACCCGGUGAUCUAGCCAUGGGCAGGUUGAAGGUUGGGUAACACUAACUGGAGGACCGAACCGACUAAUGUUGAAAAAUUAGCGGAUGACUUGUGGCUGGGGGUGAAAGGCCAAUCAAACCGGGAGAUAGCUGGUUCUCCCCGAAAGCUAUUUAGGUAGCGCCUCGUGAACUCAUCUUCGGGGGUAGAGCACUGUUUCGGCUAGGGGGUCAUCCCGACUUACCAACCCGAUGCAAACUACGAAUACCGAAGAAUGUUAUCACGGGAGACACACGGCGGGUGCUAACGUUCGUCGUGAAGAGGGAAACAACCCAGACCGCCAGCUAAGGUCCCAAAGUCAUGGUUAAGUGGGAAACGAAGUGGGAAGGCUCAGACAGCCAGGAUGUUGGCUUAGAAGCAGCCAUCAUUUAAAGAAAGCGUAAUAGCUCACUGGUCGAGUCGGCCUGCGCGGAAGAUGUAACGGGGCUAAACCAUGCACCGAAGCUGCGGCAGCGACAUGUAAAUGUUGUUGGGUAGGGGAGCGUUCUGUAAGCCUGUGAAGGUGUGCUGCGAGGCAUGCUGGAGGUAUCAGAAGUGCGAAUGCUGACAUAAGUAACGAUAAUGCGGGUGAAAAACCCGCACGCCGGAAGACCAAGGGUUCCUGUCCAACGUUAAUCGGGGCAGGGUGAGUCGACCCCUAAGGCGAGGCAGAAAUGCGUAGUCGAUGGGAAACAGGUUAAUAUUCCUGUACUGGUGAUAAUUGCGAUGGGGGGACGGAGAAGGCUAGGCUGGCCGGGCGACGGUUGUCCCGGUUUAAGGAUGUAGGUGGGCGAAUUAGGCAAAUCCGGUUCGCUAUACACUGAGGUCUGAUGACGAGUCACUACGGUGGCGAAGUAGCUCAUGCCCCGCUUCCAGGAAAAGCCUCUAAGCUCUAGAUUAUCAUUAAUCGUACCCCAAACCGACACAGGUGGUCAGGUAGAGAAUACUCAGGCGCUUGAGAGAACUCGGGUGAAGGAACUAGGCAAAAUGGUGCCGUAACUUCGGGAGAAGGCACGCUGGCAUUAGGUGAAGUGGUUUACCCAUGGAGCCGAAGCCAGUCGCAGAUACCAGCUGGCUGCAACUGUUUAUUAAAAACACAGCACUGUGCAAACACGAAAGUGGACGUAUACGGUGUGACGCCUGCCCGGUGCUGGAAGGUUAAUUGAUGGGGUUAUCCGUAAGGAGAAGCUCUUGAUCGAAGCCCCAGUAAACGGCGGCCGUAACUAUAACGGUCCUAAGGUAGCGAAAUUCCUUGUCGGGUAAGUUCCGACCUGCACGAAUGGCGUAAUGAUGGCCAGGCUGUCUCCACCCGAGACUCAGUGAAAUUGAACUCGCUGUGAAGAUGCAGUGUACCCGCGGCAAGACGGAAAGACCCCGUGAACCUUUACUAUAGCUUGACACUGAACAUUGAGCCUUGAUGUGUAGGAUAGGUGGGAGGCUUUGAAGUGUGGACGCCAGUCUGCAUGGAGCCAACCUUGAAAUACCACCCUUUAAUGUUUGAUGUUCUAACGUUGCCCCAUAAUCUGGGGUGCGGACAGUGUCUGGUGGGUAGUUUGACUGGGGCGGUCUCCUCCCAAAGCGUAACGGAGGAGCACGAAGGUUGGCUAAGCAUGGUCGGACAUCAUGCGGUUAGUGCAAAGGCAUAAGCCAGCUUGACUGCGAGAGUGACGGCUCGAGCAGGUACGAAAGUAGGUCUUAGUGAUCCGGUGGUUCUGAAUGGAAGGGCCAUCGCUCAACGGAUAAAAGGUACUCCGGGGAUAACAGGCUGAUACCGCCCAAGAGUUCAUAUCGACGGCGGUGUUUGGCACCUCGAUGUCGGCUCAUCACAUCCUGGGGCUGAAGUAGGUCCCAAGGGUAUGGCUGUUCGCCAUUUAAAGUGGUACGCGAGCUGGGUUUAGAACGUCGUGAGACAGUUCGGUCCCUAUCUGCCGUGGGCGUUGGAAGAUUGAAAGGGGCUGCUCCUAGUACGAGAGGACCGGAGUGGACGCACCGCUGGUGUUCGGGUUGUCAUGCCAAUGGCACUGCCCGGUAGCUAAGUGCGGAAGAGAUAACCGCUGAAAGCAUCUAAGCGGGAAACUUGCCUUGAGAUGAGUCUUCCCUGACUCUUUAAGGGUCCUAAAGGAACGUUUAAGACGAAGACGUUGAUAGGCUGGGUGUGUAAGCGUAGCGAUACGUUGAGCUAACCAGUACUAAUGAACCGUGAGGCUUAACCUG
rnacentral:rRNA from 1 species